AUAAUAACGCCAAUUAAUUAAUGGUUUCUUCAACUUCUAAGAGCUAGAAAAACUUUACCAAGCAACAUAUUUAUACUUAUAAGUUGUUCAACCAAGUUUUAAGUUUUUGUAAAAAAAAAAAAGUUUUUAUUUAUUAAACGCGUAAAAUAUGGCUAAAAUUUUUACUCUGUUAAUUAUUCUUUCUCUAUUUUUUGUGGUAAUAAACGGAAAAGUUGAUUGUGAAAGCGCCGGUGAUUGUCCAAGAUCUUUGUGUGUCUAUCCUUGGAUCGUGAGGUGCAUUAAUUAUAUUUGUGAUUGCGAAUAUGGAAACCCCCCUACCAGGGGAAAUAGGAAUAGAAAGGGAAAUCGAGUUUGGCUAUGAAAUUGUCCUUACCGAUUCUCAUGCAUGUGUGAGUGACAAUCUUUGUACCAGUA